rnacentral:rRNA from 1 species
CCUACGGGAGGCUGCAGUGGGGAAUAUUGGACAAUGGGGGGAACCCUGAUCCAGCCAUGCCGCUUGUGUGAAGAAGGCCCUCGGGUUGUAAAGCACUUUCAGUGAGGAAGAACGCCUGGUGGUUAAUACCCAUCAGGAAAGACAUCACUCACAGAAGAAGCACCGGCUAACUCCGUGCCAGCAGCCGCGGUAAUACGGAGGGUGCGAGCGUUAAUCGGAAUUACUGGGCGUAAAGCGCGCGUAGGUGGCUUGAUAAGCCGGUUGUGAAAGCCCCGGGCUCAACCUGGGAACGGCAUCCGGAACUGUCAAGCUAGAGUGCAGGAGAGGAAGGUAGAAUUCCCGGUGUAGCGGUGAAAUGCGUAGAGAUCGGGAGGAAUACCAGUGGCGAAGGCGGCCUUCUGGACUGACACUGACACUGAGGUGCGAAAGCGUGGGUAGCAAACAGGAUUAGAUACCCCGGUAGUC